rnacentral:rRNA from 1 species
AUGUUAUUGCGAUAGUAAUCCUGCGAAGUACGAGAGGAACCGCAGGUUCGGACAGUUGGUUGGCGCACUUGGUCGAGCGGCCAGUGGUGCGAGGCUACGUCCGGAUGAUUAUACCUGAAGGCCUCUGAAGGUAGAAUCGAUGCUGGAGGAAGGCAAUGAUACGCAGCGUCUUUUGACUCGUUUCGACGUUUUAUCUGGGUGGCUAUAACGAGACCCGUCUCGGUUAGAGAUUAAAACUCGCUCCAUCAGCGAGGGGGUUCCGGCCUUUUCGUUUCGUUUCGGACGAAUGCCUGGUCGGCGCUUCAUUCUCGAGCCGCGGUUUUCAGAGGGGAGGUUCGCUGACGGCUAUGCUGGGUAUCCGCUACGGGAAUGCCAGUCAUGCUCCGGUUCGCCUCUUUCUUUUUACCCGACUAAAGUAAGCGCAGCUGCAAAGUUGCGCGAGAACCCAGAGGUCAGACGCCAAAUCAUUUGUAGACGACUCGAGUGCCGGCCGGGGUGUUGUACACGGUAGAGCAGUCCAAAUUCACACUGCGAUCUUUUGAGACUCAGCCCUUCAAAUGAGACCGGAAGAUUU